rnacentral:rRNA from 1 species
UUUGAAAGAUGGUUCUGCUAUCACUCUUGGAUGGACCUGCGGUGCAUUAGCUAGUUGGUAAGGUAACGGCUUACCAAGGCAAUGAUGCAUAGCCGAGUUGAGAGACUGAUCGGCCACAUUGGGACUGAGACACGGCCCAAACUCCUACGGGAGGCAGCAGUAGGGAAUCUUCCACAAUGGACGAAAGUCUGAUGGAGCAACGCCGCGUGAGUGAAGAAGGGUUUCGGCUCGUAAAGCUCUGUUGGUAGUGAAGAAAGAUAGAGGUAGUAACUGGCCUUUAUUUGACGGUAAUUACUUAGAAAGUCACGGCUAACUACGUGCCAGCAGCCGCGGUAAUACGUAGGUGGCAAGCGUUGUCCGGAUUUAUUGGGCGUAAAGCGAGUGCAGGCGGUUCAAUAAGUCUGAUGUGAAAGCCUUCGGCUCAACCGGAGAAUUGCAUCAGAAACUGUUGAACUUGAGUGCAGAAGAGGAGAGUGGAACUCCAUGUGUAGCGGUGGAAUGCGUAGAUAUAUGGAAGAACACCAGUGGCGAAGGCGGCUCUCUGGUCUGCAAC